rnacentral:rRNA from 1 species
AACGAACGCUGGCGGCAGGCCUAACACAUGCAAGUCGAACGCCGUAGCAAUACGGAGUGGCAGACGGGUGAGUAACGCGUGGGAACAUACCCCUCGGUUCGGAAUAACUUAGGGAAACUUGAGCUAAUACCGGAUACGUCCGAGGUUUUAACCGGCCUCGGAGAAAGAUUUAUCGCCGGAGGAUUGGCCCGCGUCUGAUUAGCUUGUUGGUGAGGUAAUGGCUCACCAAGGCGACGAUCAGUAGCUGGUCUGAGAGGAUGAUCAGCCACAUUGGGACUGAGACACGGCCCAAACUCCUACGGGAGGCAGCAGUGGGAAUAUUGGACAAUGGGCGAAAGCCUGAUCCAGCCAUGCCGCGUGAGUGAUGAAGGCCUUAGGGUUGUAAAGCUCUUUUACCCGGGAAGAUAAUGACGGUACCGGGAGAAUAAGCCCCGCUAACCUCGUGCCAGCAGCCGCGGUAAC